GACGAACGCUGGCGGCGUGCUUAACACAUGCAAGUCGAACGGAAAGGCCCUGCUUUUGUGGGGUGCUCGAGUGGCGAACGGGUGAGUAACACGUGAGUAACCUGCCCUUGACUUUGGGAUAACUUCAGGAAACUGGGGCUAAUACCGGAUAGGAGCUCCUGCUGCAUGGUGGGGGUUGGAAAGUUUCGGCGGUUGGGGCUGGACUCGCGGCUUAUCAGCUUGUUGGUGGGGUAGUGGCUUACCAAGGUUUUGACGGGUAGCCGGCCUGAGAGGGUGCCCGGAGCCAAUGGGACUAAGAGACGGACCAGACUCCUACGGUAGGCAGCAGUGGGGAGUAUUACACAAUGGGCGGAAGCCUGAUGCAGCGACGCCGCGUGCGGGAAGACGGCCUUCGGGUUAUAAACCGCUUUCGCCUGUGACGAAGCGUGAGUGACGGUAAUGGGUAAAGAAGCACCGGCUAACUACGUG
rnacentral:rRNA from 1 species